rnacentral:rRNA from 1 species
UACGUAGGGGGCAAGCGUUGUCCGGAAUCAUUGGGCGUAAAGCGCGUGUAGGCGGUCCGGUAAGUCGGCCGUGAAAGUCCAGGGCUCAACCCUGGGAUGCCGGUCGAUACUGCCGGACUAGAGUUCGGAAGAGGCGAGUGGAAUUCCCGGUGUAGCGGUGAAAUGCGCAGAUAUCGGGAGGAACACCUAUGGCGAAGGCAGCUCGCUGGGACGGUACUGACGCUAAGGCGCGAAAGCGUGGGGAGCGAACAGG